AGUGAACGCUGGCGGUAGGCCUAACACAUGCAAGUCGAACGGCAGCACAGUAAGAGCUUGCUCUUACGGGUGGCGAGUGGUGAACGGUUGAGGAAUACCUCGGAAGCUACUUUUUCGUGGGGGAUAACGUAGGGAAACUUACGCUAAUACCCCAUAGGACCUACGGGGGAAAGCAGGGGAUCUUCGGACCUUGCGCGAUUGAAUGAGCCGAUGUCGGAUUAGCUAGUUGGAGGGGUAAAGGCCCACCAAGGCGACGAUCCGUAGCUGGUCUGAGAGGAUGAUCAGCCACACUGGAACUGAGACACGGUCCAGACUCCUACGGGAGGCAGCAGUGGGGAAUAUUGGACAAUGGGCGCAAGCCUGAUCCAGCCAUACCGCGUGGGUGAAGAAGGCCUUCGGGUUGUAAAGCCCUUUUGUUGGGAAAGAAAAGCAGCAGGUUAAUACCCCGCUGUUCUGACGGUACCCAAAGAAUAAGCACCGGCUAACUUCGUG
rnacentral:rRNA from 1 species